UGGGGAAUAUUGCACAAUGGGCGCAAGCCUGAUGCAGCCAUGCCGCGUGUAUGAAGAAGGCCUUCGGGUUGUAAAGUACUUUCAGCGAGGAGGAAGGCGUUGUGGUUAAUAACCGCAGCGAUUGACGUUACUCGCAGAAGAAGCACCGGCUAACUCCGUGCCAGCAGCCGCGGUAAUACGGAGGGUGCAAGCGUUAAUCGGAAUUACUGGGCGUAAAGCGCACGCAGGCGGUCUGUCAAGUCGGAUGUGAAAUCCCCGGGCUCAACCUGGGAACUGCAUCCGAAACUGACAGGCUAGAGUCUUGUAGAGGGGGGUAGAAUUCCAGGUGUAGCGGUGAAAUGCGUAGAGAUCUGGAGGAAUACCGGUGGCGAAGGCGGCCCCCUGGACAAAGACUGACGCUCAGGUGCGAAAGCGUGGGGAGCAAACA
rnacentral:rRNA from 1 species